rnacentral:rRNA from 1 species
UGGGGAAUAUUGCACAAUGGGCGAAAGCCUGAUGCAGCGAUGCCGCGUGAGGGAAGAAGGUCUUCGGAUUGUAAACCUCUGUUUUCAGGGACGAUAAUGACGGUACCUGAGGAGGAAGCUCCGGCUAACUACGUGCCAGCAGCCGCGGUAAUACGUAGGGAGCGAGCGUUGUCCGGAAUUACUGGGUGUAAAGGGAGUGUAGGCGGGAAAACAAGUCAGAUGUGAAAACUAUGGGCUCAACCUGUAGACUGCAUUUGAAACUGUUUUUCUUGAGUGAAGUAGAGGUAAGCGGAAUUCCUAGUGUAGCGGUGAAAUGCGUAGAUAUUAGGAGGAACAUCAGUGGCGAAGGCGGCUUACUGGGCUUUUACUGACGCUGAGGCUCGAAAGCGUGGGGAGCAAACAGG